rnacentral:rRNA from 1 species
AACGAACGCUGGCGGCAGGCUUAACACAUGCCAGUCGAGCGCCACGCAAGGAGAGCGGCAGACGAGGGAGUAACGCGUGGGAAUCCACCCAUCUCUACGGAAUAAAGCAUGGAGACGUGUGCUAAUACAGUAUACGUCAGUCGGGAGAAAGAUGUAUCGGGGAUGGAUGAGCCCGCGUUGGAUUAGCCAGAUGGUGGGGUAAAGGCCUACCAAGGCGACGAGCCAUAGCUAGUCUGAGAGGAUGAUCAGCCACACUGGGACUGAGACACGGCCCAGGCUCCUACGGGAGGCAGCAGUGGGAAAUAUUGGACAAUGGGCGCGAGCCUGAUCCAGCCAUGCCGCGUGAGUGAUGAAGGCCCUAGGGUUGUAAAGCUCUUUCACCGGUGAAGAUAAGGACGGUAAACGGAGAAGAAGCCCCGACUAACUUCGUGCCAGCCGCCGCGGUAAUAC